UCUGGUUGAUCCUGCCAGUAGUCAUAUGCUUGUCUCAAAGAUUAAGCCAUGCAUGUCUAAGUACAAACCUUAAUACGGUGAAACCGCGAAUGGCUCAUUAAAUCAGCUAUGGUUCCUUAGAUCGUCUCAUCCUACUCGGAUAACUGUGGAAAAUCUAGAGCUAAUACGUGCUUACAAGCCCUGACCUCACGGAGGGGCGCAUUUAUUAGAUCAAAACCAAUCGGGGCUUGCCCCGUCUGCUUGGUGACUCUGGAUAACUUUUGUGCUGAUCGCAUGGCCUCUGCGCUGGCGACGUAUCUUUCAAGUGUCUGCCCUAUCAACUUACGAUGGUAGGUGAUAUGCCUACCAUGGUUAUAACGGGUAACGGGGAAUCAGGGUUCGAUUCCGGAGAGGGAGCCUGAGAAACGGCUACCACAUCUAAGGAAGGCAGCAGGCGCGCAAAUUACCCACUCCCGGCACGGGGAGGUAGUGACGAAAAAUAACGAUACGGGACUCUUUUGAGGCCCCGUAAUUGGAAUGAGUACACUUUAAAUCCGUUAACAAGUAUCUAUUGGAGGGCAAGUCUGGUGCCAGCAGCCGCGGUAAUUCCAGCUCCAAUAGCGUAUAUUAAUGUUGCUGCAGUUAAAAAGCUCGUAGUUGGAUCUGAGGACUCGAAUUGGUGGUGCACCAUACGGUGUUACUGCCGAUUCGGCCUACCUAGUCGGUGCUCGCUCUUGGUGUUCUUAAUUGAAUGCCCUGAGUGCCCGGCAAGUUUACUUUGAAAAAAUUAGAGUGCUCAAAGCAGGCCAUUAGCCGGAAUACUUCAGCAUGGAAUAAUGGAAUAGGACUUCGGUUCUAUUUUGUUGGUUUUCGGAACCCGAGGUAAUGAUUAAGAGAGACAGACGGGGGCAUUCGUACUGCGGUGUUAGAGGUGAAAUUCUUGGAUCGCCGCAAGACGAACAACUGCGAAAGCAUUUGCCAAGAAUGUUUUCAUUAAUCAAGAACGAAAGUCAGAGGUUCGAAGACGAUCAGAUACCGUCCUAGUUCUGACCAUAAACGAUGCCAACUGGCGAUCCGAGAUCGUUUGCUUAUUGACCUCUCGGGCAGCCUCCGGGAAACCAAAGUUUUUAGGUUCCGGGGGAAGUAUGGUUGCAAAGCUGGAACUGUUCAAUUGCAACUCUGCCUGUGACACCAAGUGGUCGGGUUACUUGGUCUGUUCUGGCCCGGAGUCGGUAGGGUUUCCGGCCUUGUGCUCUUUCCUUACUGUUCUCUGUAACGCCGAAGGCGGGCUUCCACGGUGGGGAAGCGGUUGUACAAAUCCGGCAAAUCCAGCCAAAUGGGUUCCGGACUCUGUCCAACCUGCAACUGGUAACAGCCUCGGCUGGCUAACAUUUGAGCUGGGACUCGCUUGGAGGAGCGAGGAUAAUAUAAACCUCUAUGUGACUGAGGUGAGGAAUCUGGUUCUCGUAAAAUGGCUGGAGAUCCCGAGCCUGUAAGUCAUAAAUUAGUUCCCCACGGGGAGGUGUCGAAUUGAAGCCAGUGCGUGCCCUUACUAGUUUAAGGGAUUGUAUACUUCCUUUGGUGUACCCACCUGGAAGUGCCCAAGGGGUCCUAUCCCUGCACUCCAUCCCCGAUUGGAGUCAGGUGACGGCUCCUUA
rnacentral:rRNA from 1 species